rnacentral:siRNA from 1 species
UGAAAGUGUUUCCACGCCUUUGCA